AAGAGACAGCAGUAGCCGCGGUAAUACAGAGGGUGCGAGCGUUAAUCGGAUUUACUGGGCGUAAAGCGUGCGUAGGCGGCUUCUUAAGUCGGAUGUGAAAUCCCUGAGCUUAACUUAGGAAUUGCAUUCGAUACUGGGAAGCUAGAGUAUGGGAGAGGAUGGUAGAAUUCCAGGUGUAGCGGUGAAAUGCGUAGAGAUCUGGAGGAAUACCGAUGGCGAAGGCAGCCAUCUGGCCUAAUACUGACGCUGAGGUACGAAAGCAUGGGGAGCAAACAGGAUUAGAUACCCGUGUAGUCCCUGUCUCUUAUAC
rnacentral:rRNA from 1 species